rnacentral:rRNA from 1 species
ACGCUCGACACCUACGGGAGACAGCAGUGGGGAAUAUUGCACAAUGGGGGAAACCCUGAUGCAGCGACGCCGCGUGAAGGAAGAAGUAUCUCGGUAUGUAAACUUCUAUCAGCAGGGAAGAAAAUGACGGUACCUGACUAAGAAGCCCCGGCUAACUACGUGCCAGAAGCCGCGGUAAUCUGAGCGGGCUGGCAAGGC